UUUAACUGAAGAGUUUGAUCAUGGCUCAGAUUGAACGCUGGCGGCAGGCUUAACACAUGCAAGUCGAGCGGGGGAAGGUAGCU
rnacentral:rRNA from 1 species